rnacentral:piRNA from 1 species
UCACACAGUGGGAGUUCCGUGCAUGUGU